UCGUGGAGCGAUCUGUCUGCUUAAUUGCGAUAACGAACGAGAUCUCCGCGUUUAAAUAGGCGCCGGUCUCGCAUAUAAGUAGGAAGAUGGUGUAGGCCCUUGUGCCUUCCCAUGUUCUGAGAGGCCGGAUUGCUUCUUAGACGGACUGUGCAUGUUUUCAAUGCACGGAAGAUGGAGCCAAUAGCA
rnacentral:rRNA from 1 species